rnacentral:rRNA from 1 species
GUAGGGAAUCUUCGGCAAUGGACGAAAGUCUGACCGAGCAACGCCGCGUGAGUGAAGAAGGUUUUCGGAUCGUAAAACUCUGUUGUUAGAGAAGAACAAGGACGUUAGUAACUGAACGUCCCCUGACGGUAUCUAACCAGAAAGCCACGGCUAACUACGUGCCAGCAGCCGCGGUAAUACGUAGGUGGCAAGCGUUGUCCGGAUUUAUUGGGCGUAAAGCGAGCGCAGGCGGUUUCUUAAGUCUGAUGUGAAAGCCCCCGGCUCAACCGGGGAGGGUCAUUGGAAACUGGGAGACUUGAGUGCAGAAGAGGAGAGUGGAAUUCCAUGUGUAGCGGUGAAAUGCGUAGAUAUAUGGAGGAACACCAGUGGCGAAGGCGGCUCUCUGGUCUGUAACUGACGCUGAGGCUCGAAAGCGUGGGGAGCAA